AUUUAUUAUCUUCAUGUCCUGAAUGGUGGGAUCCAGGCUUAAAAGCUGACAUUUUAAUUAGUUUCUUUUGCUGUACUGGUUUUGGGAAUAGAUAAAAGAGCAAAUGGUUAAAUAUCAGCAAUGUUUAUGAAAAAAACUGUCUUUAAUUUGCAUAAAAUGACUCUAUUGUCUCUAAUGUUGCUUAAGAAUCAUCUCUUGUUACAUGGCUCCAAUUACCCUACUGCUCAAAGCAACAAUAACAAGCAAUAGUAAAAUAUCUGUCACCUGUAGCAUAAUUCACCUUUAAGAUCAGCUGUACAGAAGUUCCAUAAAAGGUUUCUAUUGUGCAGUUUGUCCUCAUUUUUAUUUUUACUGUAAAAGAUGAUAUAAAACAUGAAUAAAAUUUUGAAAAUAUAAUAGGUGUAAUAUGAUAACACUAAUACAACUAUUUUCAUUUUUGCCACUGACUUUCCUUAUUUGUAUGUGUAUACACAUUUUAUACAGCUGUAAUUGUAGUGAAACUACCAUCUUGCAUUAUACUUUUUAACUGAACACCAUAUCAUAAUAUUUCCUCGAGUUUCAGCUGGCUUCAUUAUUACAAUUUUAAGAAAAGUUUAUUUUUCUAUUACGUCAUUUUGCCAUAAUGCACACAUAUAAAAAACAUAUAUAUACACAUAUGUAAUACAUAUACAUAUGUAUAUUAUACUAUACAUAAUAUAAAUGUAAAUUAAAUUUAUUAUUUAUAUAACAUACAUUUAAAUAAAUAUGUAUAUUAGCCUAUCUAUCUAUCAUCUAGCUAGCUAACUAAACCUCUAUUCAAAAUCACAAAUAAAUCUUUCAGGCUACCUAAGUGAAAUAUAAAAUUCUAUUUUCUUCUGACAAUUUUGUUUAAUUUUCCUGGAGAUUUGUGUCAAAAUUCAAAAUGUUUUUGUCGGAGAAAUGGGCUGUUGGACUAAUGACAUGGGGACUAGCAGGAUAAGAGCUUGCAGCUAAGGAAUUUUCAGAUGAAUGGAAGAUUUUAUUUUCUUUGAAACAAGUUUUUGAAUGCUUACUAUGUUUCAGGAACUGAGAUUUUACUGGAACCACAAAAAUGAACAUGAUGGAUGUAUCCAUCAACUACUAGAACUUACAUUCCAGUGGAGAAAAGAAACUAAAAAGAGAUAAGUUGGAAGUUUACUUUUCACAAGAGGUGGAGAAUGAAUUGACGGAGUAAGAAUGGCAAAGGAGAUCAUGUAGGAGGGAGAUGCAGUUGUCCAGGUCAGACGUAUUUGCA
rnacentral:lncRNA from 1 species